AGAGUAUUUUCUUUCUUGUCCAGAUUAGCUAAAUUGGAUUGUUCUAUGCUAAAUUCACUUAAUCACUACUCUAUUAUUUUUGAAUUUUUUAGUUCUGUUUUUUUCACUUGGUUCUUUUUUUAAAAAAACUUCUACUACCUUUCUGAGACUUCUACUUUUUUACUUUUUUCAAGAAGCUUUAUAAUUACUUGCUAAAGCAUUUUUACCAUGACUGUUUUUAACUUCUUCAGAUAACCACAACAUUUGGUUAAUCUUGAGGUUGGCUUGGUUAACUGUCUUUUCUCAUCCUGCUUAUGAUUUUCCUUCUAAUUGUGAUUUUUCCGGUUCUUGAUAGAUGGGUGAUGUUUUAGUUUAUCCUGCAUUUUUUUUUCCUUUUUAAGUUAGAGGAAUCUGAAUCUAUUCAAAUGUUUUAUUUUAGCAGGCAUGUGCCCUGUUUAGGUUUAAUUUGAAUGUCCUGUCCUACUUUUGUAGGCCAUGUUUUCGCAGGCAGUCUUGCUAUCAGAGCUGAGGGGAUGCUGUUUUGAUCACUUAGUUUAUCUGAUGUUGCUGGGCCUCCAACUGGUGCUGACUGGUACUUCCUGAGAUGGCGAAGGUUUUUCUGUACUCUGAGAUGCCGUGUAUCUCUAUGUAAGGGGAGGAGACUCUGGACCACAGGAAUGAAGAGAACAUCUUAGUUCAUUGUGGAACCAGCACAGAUUUUCAUACGAAAGUUAUUUCUUUUUAACCUCAAAAAGUGACAGAAUGGAGUGUAUCAUGAAAAAGUCUGACAUCAAAACCUCAAAAUGUGAUAUUGAUUGGGUGAGAUAGAAUUCCAUGGAAUUUCAUUGCCAAACCAGUGAAGUGCUAAUUUUGACAUUUGUACCAGCUAACGUAGCUGUGAAGAAACACACCAAUACACUUCUAAGGACAGCAUAGACCAAGAUCUAGGUUUCAUAUGGAUGAAUUUAUUCUUCCCUUUGAGGCAAGACAAGAAGGAAAGAAAGUAUUGGGAAUAAUGCUGCCCUCCCAUCCUCAAGGGCCAGUGGGAACUCUAAUAUUGAUUGGUUUUCACAGAAUUCCAUGGACUUUAACUGCUGAACCAAUGAUGCACUGAUUUUGUCACUUGUACCAGCUAACGCAUCUGGGAGGCAACAAAACAAUACUCUCCUGAGGUUAAUGUGGACCAAAAACUAGAUUUCAUAUAAAAGAGUUUAUUCCUUCUACUUGAGGUGUGACAUGAAGGAAAGUAAUGGAAAUAAUUCUGCCCUCCCAUUCUCAAGGGCCAGGGGGAAUUCAAAUAUUGAACGGAAGUGAUUUUGGAAUUGCAUGGAAUUCUCACUGCCAUCCCAAAGAAAUGCUGAUCUUGUCACUCUUACCUGUUUCAUUCCCUGGGGGCAGAACAAAAGGACGCACUCCAAAGAUCGGCAUGAACCAAGAACUGGGUUUCAUAUAAAAUAUUUUAUUCUGUCCUCUUGAGAUGUGACAUGAGAAAAGUAUUGAGAAUACUUCUAUCACCUCAUCUUCAAGAAUCCGUAGGAAUUCUCCCAUGGUGGACUUUACGGUUAACCUGAACAGGUCUUGGAAAAAGGACUUUAAACAUUCUCCUGUUCUGUGGAAUAAGUAUACUUUUUUCUGGACAUACACCUUGUCAGUGAGUUCCAUGUGAUACUAGAGUUGCAUAGAUUUUUAACCUUUACGCCAAUGAAGAUCUGAGGCAAACAUUGCCCCUUUUUUAGAAGUUUGCAUUUGUCACUGAUAACUGUAAUAAUUGAUCUUGUUGAAAAGCCUGGGAAAUGAAGAUCUGAUAUGUCACUUUUACCGGCUUCCUCAACUGAAAAAGAAUACAAUGAAACACGCUGAGAAUUUUUGUGCUUUCUCAGUCUUGCUGAUGAUCUUUCUAUGGGCCUGAAGCGUGGAGAGUGCCAGAGAGGCUGAUCCUCAGCAGUGUGGCAGAGGAAAGUUGGGUGCGACUAAGGGGUAUGCGGUGCCCACAUGCCACUGGGUCCUCAGCAGUACCACCUGAUUGGAAGUGAUAUUGGUGGAAGACAACAUUUUGCCGCUUGGAAUUCUCACCUCCACACCAAAGAAGUACUGUUUUUGUCAUUUGCACCAGCUUCUUUCUCCAGGAAAGAUCAAAACGAUGCACUGCAAGUGUGAUUGGUCCAGAUAGCUGCCUUAUCCAACUGCCUCCUUUGGACCACUUCAUCAUGGGACAGCUUGAUGCAAUCUACUUGACAAGACCCUGGAACCCCACACCCCUCAUGGAACCAGUGUCCACCUCCCAGUCACAGUGUGACCCCAGGGAACUCUUGCCUGCUUGCUUUAAACCCACCACUUAAAAGUCUCCACAGAAAACCUGUUUGAAUAGUACCCUUGACCCAAUAAGGGCAUUGGCCCCUGGGUGUCUCUCUCUCUCUCUCUCUCUCUCUCUCCCUCUCUCUCCCUCUCUCUCUCUCGCUCCCUGACCUCUGCGUGUGGACUCCAGGCAUGCCAUAUACCCCUCAGGACCUGAAGCAAAAGAAUGAAUUAAAGAAAACUCCAGAGAAUGAGCUGACAACCUACUCCCUGGUCAGUGGCUCUCCAUGCCUACCUGUGGUCUCUUGGACACCCUUGCAGAAGAUGACUUCCUGGGAACUCUUCUGGGAGUGAAUGUUAUCAGCAAAUUCCCAAAACAACACCCCUUAGACAAAAAGCCUCCUCACCUAUGCAUUGCCUAGACCACCCACUAAAGUAAACUGAACUCCUUCAUGGCUUGAUCCAUUGUGAUGCUAGAAAAUUGUUGUACACAGAAGA
rnacentral:lncRNA from 1 species